GACGAACGCUGGCGGCGUGCUUAACACAUGCAAGUCGAACGGUAAGGCCCUUCGGGGUACACGAGUGGCGAACGGGUGAGUAACACGUGGGUGAUCUGCCCUGCACUUCGGGAUAAGCCUGGGAGACUGGGUCUAAUACCGGAUAGGACUCCUGGCUUCAUGGUUGGGGGUGGAAAGCUUUUGCGGUGUGGGAUGGGCCCGCGGCCUAUCAGCUUGUUGGUGGGGUAAUGGCCUACCAAGGCGACGACGGGUAGCCGGCCUGAGAGGGUGACCGGGCACACUGGGACUGAGAUACGGCCCAGACUCCUACGGGAGGCAGCAGUGGGGAAUAUUGCACAAUGGGCGCAAGCCUGAUGCAGCGACGCCGCGUGAGGGAUGACGGCCUUCGGGUUGUAAACCUCUUUCAGCUAUGACGAAGCGCAAGUGACGGUAGUAGCAGAAGAAGGACCGGCCAACUACGUGCCAGCCGCCGCAGUAA
rnacentral:rRNA from 1 species